AAUAAUUUAUUUGAUGGUUUCUUACUACAUGGAUAACUGUAGUAAUUCUAGAGCUAAUACAUGCGUAAAGUCCCGACUCUUGCGGGGAGGGAUGUAUUUAUUAGAUAAAAAACCAAUGCGGGUUCUGCCCGGUUUUGUGGUGAAUCAUAGUAACUUUUCGAAUCGCAUGGCUUCACGCCGGCGAUAGUUCAUUCAAAUUUCUGCCCUAUCAGCUUUCGACGGUAGUGUAGUGGACUACCGUGGCGUUAACGGGUAACGGAGAAUUAGGGUUCGAUUCCGGAGAGGGAGCCUGAGAAACGGCUACCACA
rnacentral:rRNA from 1 species